GACGAACGCUGGCGGCGUGCCUAAUACAUGCAAGUCGAGCGAAGAGUUUCUGGUGCUUGCACUAGAAAGACUUAGCGGCGGACGGGUGAGUAACACGUAAAGAACCUUCCUCAUAGACAGGGACAACUAUUGGAAACGAUAGCUAAUACCGGAUAACAGCAUUAACUGCAUGGUUGAUGUUUAAAAGUUGGUUUUGCUAACACUAUGAGAUGGCUUUGCGGUGCAUUGGCUAGUUGGUGGGGUAAAGGGCUACCAAGUCGACGAUGCAUAGCCGAACGGAGAGGGGGGUAGCCCACCCGGGGAGUGGGCCGCGGCCAUGGCUCCUGCGGGAGGCAGCAGUAGGGAAUCGUCCGCAAUGGGCGAAAGCCUGACGGAGCGACGCCGCGUGAGAGAAGAAGGAGUUCGGUUCGUAAAGCUCUGUUGUUAGGGAAGAAUGAUUGUGGAGUAAGUAGAAGCGGUAGUGACGGUACCUAAUAAGAAAGCAACGGCUAACUACGUG
rnacentral:rRNA from 1 species